rnacentral:rRNA from 1 species
CAAUCUCAGUUCAGACUGCAGGCUGCAACUCGCCUGCACGAAGUCGGAAUUGCUAGUAAUCGUAGGUCAGCAUACUACGGUGAAUACGUUCCCGGGCCUUGUACACACCGCCCGUCAAACCAUGAGAGUUGGCAACACCCGAAGUCGGUAGUCUAACCGCAAGGAGGACGCCGCCGAAGGUGGGGUUGAUGAUUAGGGUUAAGUCGUAACAAGGUAGC